UCUGGGAGUGGGUUGCUCGUUAUUUACACCGGCGUGUCGAGACAGGAACACCAAACACGUUAUUAUCCUGGUGCGGUAAACAUGCUCAGUGCGGAUGAUUUAAUGAAUAACCGUCGCCUUGUUUUUUUUACUCUUCACACGGAGUUCCUCUUUUAGACAGAAUUCUGAUUAUAAUGUAGGUAGGUCGAAAGAUAGACAGGUAAGUAGAUGGACACACAGACAGAUAGAUAGACAGGUAGGUUGGUGAGUAGGUCAGUGGACACACAGGUAGGUAAAUAGGUAGGUAGACAGACGAGUAUAUAAAAAGGCAGGUUGGUUAAUGGGUAGGCAGACAGGUGUAUAUGGUAAGACAGACAGACAGGUAUGUGGGUAGGUUGGUAGACAGGCAGGUAGGUCAUAAGACAGACAGACAGGUAGGUAAGUAGGUAGGUUGGUAGGCAGGUUGGCCAUAGACAUACAGACAGACGGGUAAGUUGGUAGGUUGGUAGGCAGAACAAGUAGGUGGAUAUACUGACAGGCAGGUAGACAUGCACGUAUGUAUGUAGACAGGUAGGUAUUCAGUUAGGUAGGCAGUGUGGUAGACAGACAGACAGACAGGUAGGUAGAUAUACUCACAGACAGACUGGUAAACAUGUAGGUAGGUAAAUUGGGUAGGCAUGCAGUAGGUAGAAAGACAGGUUCUGUAGAUAGGUAGGUAAGUAGGUAGGUAGACAGACAGACAGAUGGGUAGGUAGGUAAGUAGGUAGGUAGACAGACAGAUGAAGAGGUAGGUAGGUAAGUAGGUUGGUAGACAGACAAGUAGGGAGGUAGACAGACAGGUAGGUAGGUAGGAAAGCAGACAGACAGACAGACAGACAGACAGGUAGGUAGGUAGGAAAGCAGACAGACAGACAGACAGACAGGUAGGUUAGCCUAAGUAGACAUAAAACGGUAGGUAGGUAGAUAGACAGACGGAUGGGUAGGUGGAUAAGUAGGUAGGUAGACAGACAGACAGAUGGGGAGGUAUGUAGGUAGACAGACAGACAGGUAGAAGAGCGUUUCUGGGGCUGAAUGUGAGAGUGUUUUCGGUUUAGCUGUAGUAUUUAUGAGGUUGUAUUCCUUGCUAUAGGAGGUGAUAUGAGAG
ensembl:lncRNA